CCUACGGGAGGCAGCAGUAGGGAAUCUUCCACAAUGGACGCAAGUCUGAUGGAGCAACGCCGCGUGAGUGAAGAAGGUUUUCGGAUCGUAAAGCUCUGUUGUUGGUGAAGAAGGAUAGAGGUAGUAACUGGUCUUUAUUUGACGGUAAUCAACCAGAAAGUCACGGCUAACUACGUGCCAGCAGCCGCGGUAAU
rnacentral:rRNA from 1 species